rnacentral:rRNA from 1 species
UACGUAGGAUGCAAGCGUUGUCCGGAUUUAUUGGGUUGAAAGGGUGCGUAGGCGGCCUAUUAAGUUAGUGGUGAAAACGUUCGGCUUAACCAGAUACCCGCCAUUGAUACUGAUAGUCUUGAGUGCGACAGAGGGUGUUGGAAUGUGUGGUGUAGCGGUGAAAUGCUUAGAUAUCACGCAGAACACCAAUUGCGAAGGCAGAUGCCUAUGUCGUAACUGACGCUGAGGCACGAAAGCGUGGGGAGCAAACAGG